ensembl:lncRNA
GAUCUAAGAUAGCUUUUAUAGUUUUGGAUGAAGCAGCAGGAUUCCUACUUUAAUUCAGCUCACUCUGAAACCGACAUGGAGAAAGGUUUCUUAGUACAAAGCGCUGAUGAAGAUGUGAUGAUGCUAAUGUUUUGAUCCACUUUGAACGAGCAGAAUUUGACGUUUCUAUGAGCAGGUUUGGCAGGUCAGAGUUCAGUCCAGGGCCUAUUAUAUGCCACAGCCUAAAGACAGCUGGGUUCCAGAGGCUUGAGUGACCACUGACUAUAUGCUUGCAGGGUGGUGGGUCUCCAAGGACAACUUCUAACCCUGUUAAAGGCAACAUGUGGAGUGCAACUUGGCUGUGUGGCAUAGCUGGGUCUGGCCUUUGGACUGUGUGUGUUUAUACAAUUCAUAAGUGGGAAACUGGACUGUUUUAUCUAUUAUCUCUUGAUAUAUUUUUCGUCAAUAAAUUAUCUUUUAGAAUUUUAUUGACUGGUAUCUUUUUGCCCACGACUGAGACGGUUGGUCAGACCUAGAGUCUUUCUUUUGGUGUGUUACAGCAGCUUCUGCUCUAAAAGAAACAAAUAAAUAAAAAGAAAAGAAAAUGUGGAACAUGCUCAUCAGCUUAGCGGUGUCCACACAUUUAAUUCAGC